rnacentral:rRNA from 1 species
UACAGAGGUCUCAAGCGUUGUUCGGAUUUAUUGGGCGUAAAGGGUGCGUAGGCGGUAGUGUAAGUCUAGUGUGAAAUCUCGGAGCUUAACUUCGAAACUGCACUAGAUACUGCUCUGCUAGAGGGCUGUAGAGGAGAUUGGAAUUCACGGUGUAGCAGUGAAAUGCGUAGAUAUCGUGAGGAAGGCCAGUGGCGAAAGCGAAUCUCUGGGCAGCUCCUGACGCUGAGGCACGAAGGCCAGGGGAGCAAACGGG